rnacentral:rRNA from 1 species
UACGUAGGGUGCAAGCGUUGUCCGGAAUUACUGGGCGUAAAGCGUGCGCAGGCGGUUCGUUGUGUCGGUGGUGAAAGCCCCGGGCUCAACCUGGGAAUGGCCAUGGAAACUGGCGAACUGGAGUGUGGCAGAGGGGGGUGGAAUUCCGCGUGUAGCAGUGAAAUGCGUAGAGAUGCGGAGGAACACCGAUGGCGAAGGCAGCCCCCUGGGCUAGCACUGACGCUCAGGCACGAAAGCGUGGGGAGCAAACAGG